rnacentral:rRNA from 1 species
GACAGAGGAUGCAAACGUUGCUCGGAAUUACUGGGCGUAAAGCGCAUGUAGGCGGUCCGGUAAGUCAGGUGUGAAAUCCCGGGGCUCAACCUCGGAAGGGCACAUGAUACUGCCGGACUUGAGUACUGGAGAGGAGAGUGGAAUUCCCGGUGUAGAGGUGAAAUUCGUAGAUAUGACAUAGAACACCAAUUGCGAAGGCAGCUUACUACACAGUUAUUGACACUGAGGCACGAAAGCGUGGGGAUCAAACAGG